GACGAACGCUGGCGACGUGCUUAACACAUGCAAGUCGAACGGAAAGGCCCUGCUUUUGUGGGGUGCUCGAGUGGCGAACGGGUGAGUAACACGUGAGUGACCUGCCCUUGACUUUGGGAUAACUUCAGGAAACUGGGGCUAAUACCGGAUAGGAGCUCCUGCUGCAUGGUGGGGGUUGGAAAGUUUCGGCGGUUGGGGAUGGACUCGCGGCUUAUCAGCUUGUUGGUGGGGUAGUGGCUUACCAAGGCUUUGACGGGUAGCCGGCCUGAGAGGGUGACCGGCCACAUUGGGACUGAGAUACGGCCCAGACUCCUACGGGAGGCAACAGUGGGGAAUAUUGCACAAUGGGCGGAAGCCUGAUGCAGCAACGCCGCGUGCGGGAUGACGGCCUUCGGGUUGUAAACCGCUUUCGCCUGUGACGAAGCGUGAGUGACGGUAAUGGGUAAAGAAGCACCGGCUAACUACGU
rnacentral:rRNA from 1 species